CAAGCCUUCUGGCGAUCUAGACAAAACAAGUCCACCGUGGGCUUUGAAAAACGCUUUCCUUGAUAAAAUUUAAGCGUUUUAUAAGAGGAUGCCGGGGAAGGUUUUCCGGUUUAUCCCGGAGGGCUUGUAGCUCAGUUGGUUAGAGCGCGCGCUUGAUAAGCGUGAGGUCGGAGGUUCAAGUCCUCCCAGGCCCACCAGUUUAUCCAUUACUUUCAUAAGUGCUUUUAAAAAAUAAGUACUUCUAAAAAGAUUGCUUCUAAAAAGCUUAUCAAAAUUGGCAGGCUUAUUGCUUUUGUGUGAGUAAUCCAAAGUUAAAGCAAAUUAAUGGCAAAAAAACAGUUCAAAUGCUAAAUACUAAGGAGUCAAAAUUCCUUGCAAAGUGAUUUUUACAGCGUCCAUUUGGUUGAUAUAAAUUCCAAAUGCUCAUAGACGUCAAUGCCUAUAUGAAACUAUCGGUUCAAUCAUAUCGCUUUGAGUUAUAUAGAUUUUGUAAUCCCUCUUUUGAUCGUUUUAAACGCUUUAUCCUGAUUUAGGGGCCGUAGCUCAGCUGGGAGAGCACCUGCUUUGCAAGCAGGGGGUCGUCGGUUCGAUCCCGUCCGGCUCCACCAUAAGGUCAUCAUCAUUGUUGUAAGAACAGUUUUGUAAAAGGUUUGCGAACCUUUUGCUUGUUCUAUUGAAAUUGUGAAGAGAAGAUAUAUUCAGACAUGUUCCUUUUGAAAGGUUUGUUCUGGAAGGUGAGGUUUUUCUGUGCAGAAAUGUUUCAGAAAAAGCUUUGUCAUCAGAAAGGGCUAUUGUCUAACAGCUUAGAUAAAAAACAAAUCUGAAAAGAAUCUUGUGUCGCAGGGAAGCUCAAGCCCUUGCU
rnacentral:tRNA from 1 species